rnacentral:lncRNA from 1 species
GAAGAGUUCUAGUUAUCUUCAACUUCUAACUCCUUCCUUAUUUAGGAUAGAGUUUUCUUCGAAUAAGGAGUCCUUAUCCUUGUCAGUUAUGCAAUAUUUUCCUUCAGGAGAUAUGAUAUAACCUCUUAAGCUUAUCUCCUUCACGUGCAUGCCUUGUGCUUGAAUUUGCUCGUGUCUUUACACACUGUGUAUGAACCUGGUUCAUGCUUGAGCUCCUUUGUCAAUAAUCAAAACCAAAUUCAUUUAGUCCAAUGCCUACCAUUGAGGCAUGAAAUAUGCCUGUUAUAUUCUUUCUCUCUCUCUCUCUCUCUCUCUCUCUCUCUCUCUCUCUCUCUCUCUCUCUCUGUUUCUUNNNNNNNNNNNNNNNNNNNNNNNUUUCUCUCUCUCUCUCUCUCUCUCUCUCUCUCUCUCUCUCUCUCUCUCUCUCUCUCUCUCUCUCUCUCUUCCAUAUAUCUCUUUCUAUCAGCAAGAUUCUCAAUCCUCUUUUUUCUCGCUCAAAUAUAACACGACCUUUUUGACAUCUCGAAUUCGGUUUGUUGUUAAACUUACGUAACUUCUAGACUAUAAGAAAAAGGUAAUAUUACCACUGCCACUUUUGUGCUACAUUCUCAGAUCAACAUUCUCUAUCAACUCGUAUCCAGGCGGUUCGCUGACUAUUGGUGAAUAGAUCUGGCAAUGCUUGUACCAGAGAAGAUUAGAGUGCCAAGUUUUUGAUUGUCUCUAUUUUUAGUUUAAUACUGUUAAAGAAUGAAUGUGAACAUAAAGAAUAAAUGUAAACAUAAAUAAUAAAAUGUAGAUGGAUUACUUGUACUAUACAUAGAUAGAAUAAGUAUUGAGAUUUGAUAGUAGAUUUUUAGGAUUUUCCUUUUACUUCUUUUCGUUAUUAGGAUCUUAUGUGUGUAUAUAUAUAUAU